CAGAGAGGCUUUCACCAGUAUUCUGUGAAAAACCAGAAAUCUCAUUUC
rnacentral:snRNA from 1 species